UACGUAGGGUGCAAGCGUUAAUCGGAAUUACUGGGCGUAAAGCGUGCGCAGGCGGCUUUGCAAGACAGAUGUGAAAUCCCCGGGCUCAACCUGGGAACUGCAUUUGUGACUGCAUGGCUAGAGUACGGUAGAGGGGAUGGAAUUCCGCGUGUAGCAGUGAAAUGCGUAGAUAUCAGGAGGAACACCGAUGGCGAAGGCACUUUACUGGGCUAUUACUAACACUCAGAGACGAAAGCGUGGGAGCAAACGGG
rnacentral:rRNA from 1 species